ensembl:lncRNA
CACGCGGCAGGGUGGGGCCCGGCAAAGUGAUUUGCUGGAGCCAGUAAGGCAGGCUGUAUUCAAAGCUCAGGAUUAAAACAGAAAUGUAUUCGAGAGCGGUUUUGAGACAACUGCGCGUUCUACUGCAGGAAAGCUCCGCGCAUGGUGGCAUCUUCUAAAGGUGCCCUGAGAACGGAAAGCCCUCGCAAAUUGCUAAGUUUUACAUUUAAAAGGUAAGCAAAGCAGCAAGAAGCCAGAUACACUUCUCCACAAAACUCUCUUUGUUCUUUCGACAGGUCUUUUAGCUGUGAAAGGUAAUGGAUUCUUUGUAAACACCUCGGCAGAGCUUGCUGCUAAACCUCGGAGAGGCAGAGAGCACAGCUGUGCGAGAGAAUUACCCGGUGCUCGCAUUAACCAAGUCCUUCUGCGUUUAAAACAUCAUUUAUACAUUUUUCACGGCUGUUAAAGAUUCAGACUACAAAGGCAACAUGAGCCAGGUAAGUGUCUAACUGAAAUGAUUUACAGGCCAAUGUUGCACAAUAAAUCCAAGUAACACGUAACAAAAGGCAUCUAUAAACCACAAGGUACUUAACUAAUUUUCUUUCAUACACAAAAGCAAGUUUAGGUCAAACAUUGAUAAAAAAACUUAGGGGAUGAAGUAAAAAACUUAGUUGAGAUGUCAGGGAGGGUUCAAGGGAUUUUUUCAUGUUUCUUUAUAAGCACAAGUUAAUAAAGAUUUUCAGAAAUACCACUCUUAAUCACCACUAUUGCUUGAGGAGGUGCCUGCAGCGUGAAGACGACAAGUUCGGGCAAAAUAAGGCAAGCCUUUCUGCCAACUCAACAGAAGGAAAAGAAGCCAUUUCUGAAACUCCUCCCUGGGAUUUACAGACAUCCUUAGGAUUGAAAAGUCUUUCCAGAAGAAGGGGACAGAGAAGGGGACAGAGAAUCAGAGAAAAGCUCUUAGAUCUCUUCUCUUCACCUUUUCUUCUAUUCUACUGCUUCACCAUCUCAGUUCAAGAAUAUUGAUACAGAAUAAGGCUUUACACCUGGGCUGAAAUAAUGCACCAUCUGUAGGUCUGGGAAUCACACUGAUGCAACUGGUUUGCCAAAGAGCAACCUAGGAACUAUGCCAAUAUUCUGGUGCAAGUGGAAGAAACUCAAGAGAUCUGAAGAACAUAAAGAACUAUUACAACAUGUGUAUAAGUGUAUACAUCCAGGAAGACAGGAAGCUUUCCCUCCCCCCAGUAUUCACUCAUGUUAGGCUACUACAAUUAGAAGUGGUUUCAGAAGUGUUAUUUACACUUUGUGGUCUUGAGUAAAGUCAUGCCAAUUCCCUUCUUAAAAUCGGAAACCUUGCCAAAUACAUACCACUACAAGACAACUGAGCUCACUCACUGGAGGACAGACACUGGAGUACAAAACAUCCACUUGACUCACAAGAUAGGGAGGAUCAUUUUAGGUUGCAGGCUAAGGCAUUACUAGCUAGGAUUACUAUAUCCAACACGCUCCACAUGAAUUAACCUAGCUCAAGCAAGUGUGUAUAUGUUCUUCAAUACACUGUAGCCUCUGUAUUCAGAUUCUUGGAUUACUGAAUGCUUGCUGUCACAGUUUGCAGCCCAGCAAAGAUGCCCAGCUUAGCUAACAGUCUUCAAUUAUCAGAGCUGGAAAAACCCCCCAAGAUACAUAUUUCAUACUUCCAUGGAUCUUUUGAGGGAGGUGAGGGCAAGCUUCUCUCACCUAGUCUGAACAUCAGAAAGAACAAUCAUGCAAUAGCUUAUUGCAAUGCAUCCGAUAUCUGUAUUCAUUAUCUUUUUUCUUUUUAAUGACAGAAAGCCACAAAUAGCAUGUUUCACUUCACAAAAGCUUGGUGCCUAGGAACAACUUCAAGUGGCAACAGCAAUCAAGAUAUUCACGUCAACCUCAGGUAGAAGUCUUGUCUGGAUCUACGCAACCCACUUGACGGACAACAAAUCCCACAUGGUGAAAACUUUCAGAAGUUUAAGACACAAAACCCUAUUUCUUCAGUACCAAGUAGAAACAAUUAGAAUUUCAUGGAUAGUCAUUCAUUCUGACCCUGAAAUAGGCAGUAGACUGAUGCUUAGGGGUACCCACGGGGAUGUGGGAAGUCAGGGUCAAAUCUCUCAUCUGAACCAGGAACAUUAAGAUGACUCUCUCUCAGAUUCAACUCCUGCAAAAGCGUCCUCAUUUUGAGGACUCAUUCUAUCAAAAUAAACAUUUCAUUAAAGAUUUUUUUAAUCUUGAU